CCUACGGGGGGCUGCAGUGGGGGAUAUUGCACAAUGGGCGCAAGCCUGAUGCAGGCAUGCCGCGUGUGUGAAGAAGGCCUUCGGGUUGUAAAGCACUUUCAGCGGGGAGGAAGGCGGUGAGGUUAAUAACCUCAUCGAUUGACGUUACCCGCAGAAGAAGCACCGGCUAACUCCGGUGCCAGCAGCCGCGGUAAUACGGAGGGUGCAAGCGUUAAUCGGAAUUACUGGGCGUAAAGCGCACGCAGGCGGUCUGUCAAGUCGGAUGUGAAAUCCCCGGGCUCAACCUGGGAACUGCAUUCGAAACUGGCAGGCUAGAGUCUUGUAGAGGGGGGUAGAAUUCCAGGUGUAGCGGUGAAAUGCGUAGAGAUCUGGAGGAAUACCGGUGGCGAAGGCGGCCCCCUGGACAAAGACUGACGCUCAGGUGCGAAAGCGUGGGGAGCAAACAGGAUUAGAUACCCGAGUAGUC
rnacentral:rRNA from 1 species